GAUGAACGCUGGCGGCGUGCCUAAUACAUGCAAGUCGAGCGAACGGAUGAGGAGCUUGCUCCUCUGACGUUAGCGGCGGACGGGUGAGUAACACGUGGAUAACCUACCUAUAAGACUGGGAUAACUUCGGGAAACCGGAGCUAAUACCGGAUAAUAUAUUGAACCGCAUGGUUCAAUAGUUAAAGACGGUUUUGCUGUCACUUAUAGAUGGAUCCGCGCCGCAUUAGCUAGUUGGUAAGGUAACGGCUUACCAAGGCAACGAUGCGUAGCCGACCUGAGAGGGUGAUCGGCCACACUGGAACUGAGACACGGUCCAGACUCCUACGGGAGGCAGCAGUAGGGAAUCUUCCGCAAUGGGCGAAAGCCUGACGGAGCAACGCCGCGUGAGUGAUGAAGGUCUUCGGAUCGUAAAACUCUGUUAUUAGGGAAGAACAAAUGUGUAAGUAACUAUGCACGUCUUGACGGUACCUAAUCAGAAAGCCACGGCUAACUACGUG
rnacentral:rRNA from 1 species